CUCCAUAAUGACAUUACCCAGAAUCCCUCACCUCUCCAGCCAGCGGGUAGAUGAUCUCCAUGGUGACAUUACCCAGAAUCCCUCACCUCUCCAGUCAGCAGGUAGAUGAUCUCCAUAGUGACAUUACCCAGAAUCCCUCACCUCUCCAGCCAGCAGGUAGAUGAUCUCCAUACUGACAUUACCCAGAAUCCCUCACCUCUCCAGUCAGCAGGCAGAUGAUCUCCAUACUGACAUUACCCAGAAUCCCUCACCUCUCCAGCCAGCAGGUAGAUGAUCUCCAUAAUGACAUUACCCAGAAUCCCUCACCUCCCCAGCCAGCAGGUAGAUGAUCUCCAUGGUGACAUUACCCAGAAUCCCUCACCUCUCCAGUCAGCAGGUAGAUGAUCACAUAACAUUAUCACUAUAGUCCUCACCUCCAGUCACAGGUAGAUGAUCUCCAUAAAGACAUUACCCAGAAUCCCCUGUCUCCAGUCAGCAGGUAGAUGAUCUCAAUGAGCCAUUCCCAGAAUCCCUCACCCUCCAGUCAGCAGGUAGAUGACCUCCACAGACACACCCAGAAUCCCUCACCUCCAGAAGUCAGCAGGGUAAUCUCCAUAACACACCAGAAUCCCUCACCUCUCCAGCCAGCAGGUAGAUGAUCUCCAUAUUGACAUUACCCAGAAUCCCUCACCUCUCCAGCCAGCAGGUAGAUGAUCUCCAUAUUGACAUUACCCAGAAUCCCUCACCUCUCCAGCCAGCAGGUAGAUGAUCUCCAUAAUGACAUUACCCAGAAUCCCUCACCCCUCCAGUCAGCAGGUAGAUGAUCUCCAUAAUGACAUUACCCAGAAUCCCUCACCUCUCCAGUCAGCAGGUAGAUAAUCUCUAGAGUUAGAUCCAAGAUCUUCUCAGCCAUCCUAUUCCUGUCCUUGCUCAUUAUCACAGUUUAUUCCAGUGCUCUUACAAUGGGUUUCUUAUUGAAGGAGUGCCCACAACAAUUCUG